CCUGGAGUUGUAGGCUUUGCCUGCUAUCUCUUACCCAUGUCUUUUGAGUACCUUCGUUUCCUCGGCGGGUUCGCCCGCCGAUUGGACAAUUUAAACCAUUUGCAGUUGCAAUCAGCGUCUGAGUAAACUUAAUUAAUAAAUUA
rnacentral:misc_RNA from 1 species